UUAAGCGACUAAGCGUACACGGUGGAUGCCCUGGCAGUCAGAGGCGAUGAAGGACGUGCUAAUCUGCGAUAAGCGCCGGUAAGGUGAUAUGAACCGUUAUAACCGGCGAUUUCCGAAUGGGGAAACCCAGUGUGAUUCGUCACACUAUCAUUAACUGAAUCCAUAGGUUAAUGAGGCGAACCGGGGGAACUGAAACAUCUAAGUACCCCGAGGAAAAGAAAUCAACCGAGAUUCCCCCAGUAGCGGCGAGCGAACGGGGAGGAGCCCAGAGCCUGAAUCAGCAUGUGUGUUAGUGGAAGCGUCUGGAAAGGUGCGCGAUACAGGGUGACAGCCCCGUACACAAAAGCGCAUGUGCUGUGAGCUCGAUGAGUAGGGCGGGACACGUGGUAUCCUGUCUGAAUAUGGGGGGACCAUCCUCCAAGGCUAAAUACUCCUGACUGACCGAUAGUGAACCAGUACCGUGAGGGAAAGGCGAAAAGAACCCCGGCGAGGGGAGUGAAAAAGAACCUGAAACCGUGUACGUACAAGCAGUGGGAGCACAGGUUUACCUGUGUGACUGCGUACCUUUUGUAUAAUGGGUCAGCGACUUAUAUUCUGUAGCAAGGUUAACCGUAUAGGGGAGCCGAGGGAAACCGAGUCUUAACCGGGCGUUAAGUUGCAGGGUAUAGACCCGAAACCCGGUGAUCUAGCCAUGGGCAGGUUGAAGGUUGGGUAACACUAACUGGAGGACCGAACCGACUAAUGUUGAAAAAUUAGCGGAUGACCUGUGGCUGGGGGUGAAAGGCCAAUCAAACCGGGAGAUAGCUGGUUCUCCCCGAAAGCUAUUUAGGUAGCGCCUCGUGAAUUCAUCUCCGGGGGUAGAGCACUGUUUCGGCUAGGGGGCCAUCCCGGCUUACCAACCCGAUGCAAACUGCGAAUACCGGAGAAUGUUAUCACGGGAGACACACGGCGGGUGCUAACGUCCGUCGUGAAGAGGGAAACAACCCAGACCGCCAGCUAAGGUCCCAAAGUCAUGGUUAAGUGGGAAACGAUGUGGGAAGGCCCAGACAGCCAGGAUGUUGGCUUAGAAGCAGCCAUCAUUUAAAGAAAGCGUAAUAGCUCACUGGUCGAGUCGGCCUGCGCGGAAGAUGUAACGGGGCUAAACCAUGCACCGAAGCUGCGGCAGCGAACGUAUCACUUAAAGCGAUUCAGCGGGUUACGAUUGACGGAGCGAAGCGACGUCAAAGCGUAUACAAAGUCGAGUCGGUUUAGGAUACGUUCGUUGGGUAGGGGAGCGUUCUGUAAGCCCGUGAAGGUGGCCUGUGAGGGUUGCUGGAGGUAUCAGAAGUGCGAAUGCUGACAUAAGUAACGAUAAAGCGGGUGAAAAGCCCGCUCGCCGGAAGACCAAGGGUUCCUGUCCAACGUUAAUCGGGGCAGGGUGAGUCGACCCCUAAGGCGAGGCCGAAAGGCGUAGUCGAUGGGAAACGGGUUAAUAUUCCCGUACUUGGUGUUACUGCGAAGGGGGGACGGAGAAGGCUAUGUUGGCCGGGCGACGGUUGUCCCGGUUUAAGCGUGUAGGUGUGUGUUCCAGGUAAAUCCGGUUCACUUUAACACUGAGGCGUGACGACGAGGCACUACGGUGCUGAAGCAACAAAUGCCCUGCUUCCAGGAAAAGCCUCUAAGCAUCAGGUAACAUCAAAUCGUACCCCAAACCGACACAGGUGGUCAGGUAGAGAAUACCAAGGCGCUUGAGAGAACUCGGGUGAAGGAACUAGGCAAAAUGGUGCCGUAACUUCGGGAGAAGGCACGCUGACACGUAGGUGAAGUGAUUUACUCAUGGAGCUGAAGUCAGUCGAAGAUACCAGCUGGCUGCAACUGUUUAUUAAAAACACAGCACUGUGCAAACACGAAAGUGGACGUAUACGGUGUGACGCCUGCCCGGUGCCGGAAGGUUAAUUGAUGGGGUCAGCGCAAGCGAAGCUCCUGAUCGAAGCCCCGGUAAACGGCGGCCGUAACUAUAACGGUCCUAAGGUAGCGAAAUUCCUUGUCGGGUAAGUUCCGACCUGCACGAAUGGCGUAAUGAUGGCCAGGCUGUCUCCACCCGAGACUCAGUGAAAUUGAACUCGCUGUGAAGAUGCAGUGUACCCGCGGCAAGACGGAAAGACCCCGUGAACCUUUACUAUAGCUUGACACUGAACAUUGAGCCUUGAUGUGUAGGAUAGGUGGGAGGCUUUGAAGUGUGGACGCCAGUCUGCAUGGAGCCGACCUUGAAAUACCACCCUUUAAUGUUUGAUGUUCUAACGUGGACCCGUAAUCCGGGUUGCGGACAGUGUCUGGUGGGUAGUUUGACUGGGGCGGUCUCCUCCUAAAGAGUAACGGAGGAGCACGAAGGUUGGCUAAUCCUGGUCGGACAUCAGGAGGUUAGUGCAAUGGCAUAAGCCAGCUUGACUGCGAGCGUGACGGCGCGAGCAGGUGCGAAAGCAGGUCAUAGUGAUCCGGUGGUUCUGAAUGGAAGGGCCAUCGCUCAACGGAUAAAAGGUACUCCGGGGAUAACAGGCUGAUACCGCCCAAGAGUUCAUAUCGACGGCGGUGUUUGGCACCUCGAUGUCGGCUCAUCACAUCCUGGGGCUGAAGUAGGUCCCAAGGGUAUGGCUGUUCGCCAUUUAAAGUGGUACGCGAGCUGGGUUUAGAACGUCGUGAGACAGUUCGGUCCCUAUCUGCCGUGGGCGCUGGAGAACUGAGGGGGGCUGCUCCUAGUACGAGAGGACCGGAGUGGACGCAUCACUGGUGUUCGGGUUGUCAUGCCAAUGGCACUGCCCGGUAGCUAAAUGCGGAAGAGAUAAGUGCUGAAAGCAUCUAAGCACGAAACUUGCCCCGAGAUGAGUUCUCCCUGAGACUUAGAGUCUCCUGAAGGAACGUUGAAGACGACGACGUUGAUAGGCCGGGUGUGUAAGCGCAGCGAUGCGUUGAGCUAACCGGUACUAAUGAACCGUGAGGCUUAACCU
rnacentral:rRNA from 1 species